GGCGCACGGGUGCGUAACGCGUAUGCAAUCUACCUUGUACAGGGGGAUAGCCCAGAGAAAUUUGGAUUAAUACCCCAUAGUAUUAAGAGUUGGCAUCGACUUUUAAUUAAAGAUUUAUCGGUACAAGAUGAGCAUGCGUACUAUUAGCUAGUUGGAGUGGUAACGGCACACCAAGGCUACGAUAGUUAGGGGUCCUGAGAGGGAGAUCCCCCACACUGGUACUGAGACACGGACCAGACUCCUACGGGAGGCAGCAGUGAGGAAUAUUGGACAAUGGUGGGAACACUGAUCCAGCCAUGCCGCGUGCAGGAAGACUGCCCUAUGGGCUGUAAACUGCUUUUUUACGGGAAGAAACAUCCGCUCGUGAGCGGACUUGACGGUACCGUAGGAAUAAGGAUCGGCUAACUCCGUGCCAGCAGCCGCGGUAAUACGGAGGAUCCGAGCGUUAUCCGGAAUCAUUGGGUUUAAAGGGUCCGUAGGCGGGUUUGUAAGUCAGUGGUGAAAUCCGGCAGCUUAACUGUCGAACUGCCAUUGAUACUGCGAGUCUUGAAUUACUGUGAAGUGGUUAGAAUAUGUAGUGUAGCGGUGAAAUGCUUAGAUAUUACAUGGAAUACCAAUUGCGAAGGCAGAUCACUAACAGUAUAUUGACGCUGAGGGACGAAAGCGUGGGUAGCGAACAGGAUUAGAUACCCUGGUAGUCCACGCCGUAAACGAUGGAUACUAGCUGUUGGGCGUACGCUCAGUGGCUAAGCGAAAGUGAUAAGUAUCCCACCUGGGGAGUACGUUCGCAAGAAUGAAACUCAAAGGAAUUGACGGGGGCCCGCACAAGCGGUGGAGCAUGUGGUUUAAUUCGAUGAUACGCGAGGAACCUUACCAGGGCUUGAAUGUAGUCUGACAGGGGUGGAAACACUCUUUUCUUCGGACAGAUUACAAGGUGCUGCAUGGUUGUCGUCAGCUCGUGCCGUGAGGUGUCAGGUUAAGUCCUAUAACGAGCGCAACCCCUGUGGUUAGUUGCCAGCGAGUAAUGUCGGGAACUCUAGCCAGACUGCCGGUGCAAACCGUGA
rnacentral:rRNA from 1 species